rnacentral:rRNA from 1 species
GGGGAAUAUUGCGCAAUGGGGGGAACCCUGACGCAGCAACGCCGCGUGAGUGAAGAAGGUCUUCGGAUCGUAAAACUCUGUCAUUGGGGAAGAAGCAAGUGACGGUACCCAAUGAGGAAGCCCCGGCUAACUACGUGCCAGCAGCCGCGGUAAUACGUAGGGGGCAAGCGUUGUCCGGAAUUACUGGGCGUAAAGGGUGCGUAGGCGGCCGAUUAAGUCAGAUGUGAAAUACCAGGGCUUAACCCUGGGGGUGCAUUUGAAACUGGUUGGCUUGAGUGCAGGAGAGGAAAGUGGAAUUCCUAGUGUAGCGGUGAAAUGCGUAGAGAUUAGGAGGAACACCAGUGGCGAAGGCGACUUUCUGGACUGUAACUGACGCUGAGGCACGAAAGCGUGGGUAGCGAAC